rnacentral:rRNA from 1 species
UACGGAGGAUCCAAGCGUUAUCCGGAUUCAUUGGGUUUAAAGGGUGCGUAGGCGGAUUUGUAAGUCAGUGGUGAAAGCCAACAGCUCAACUGUUGAACUGCCAUUGAUACUGCAAGUCUUGAGUACAUUUGAUGUGGGCGGAAUGUGUCAUGUAGCGGUGAAAUGCGUAGAGAUGUGGAGGAACACCGAUGGCGAAGGCAGCCUUCUGGGCCAAUACUGACGCUCAUGCACGAAAGCGUGGGGAGCAAACAGG